CAAACUCUCAGUUCUUCACAUGGUUGGUUGGGCUUUUCACAGGCAGUAAGUCUGAGAAGUCAAACUUCUAACACAGUAGCUGGCUUCCCCCUGAAUGCAAA